GUGAGGAAUUUUCCGCAAUGGGCGAAAGCCUGACGGAGCAAUGCCGCGUGAAGGAUGAAGGUCUUAGGAUUGUAAAAUUCUUUCACCGGGGACGAUAAUGACGGUACCCGGAGAAGAAGCUCCGGCUAACUUCGUGCCAGCAGCCGCGGUACUACGAAGGGGGCUAGCGUUGCUCGGAAUUACUGGGCGUAUAGGGCUCGUAGGCGGACAGCUUAGUCAGAGGUGAAAGCCCAGGGCUCAACCUUGGAAUUGCCUUUGAUACUGGCUGUCUUGAGAUUGGGAGAGGUGAGUGGAACUCCGAGUGUAGAGGUGAAAUUCGUAGAUAUUCGGAAGAACACCAGUGGCGAAGGCGACUCACUGGCCCAAUACUGACGCUGAGGCGCGAAAGCGUGGGGAGCAAACAGGAUUAGAAACCCUAGUAGUCC
rnacentral:rRNA from 1 species